rnacentral:rRNA from 1 species
GUGGGGAAUAUUGGACAAUGGGCGAAAGCCUGAUCCAGCCAUGCCGCGUGUGUGAAGAAGGUCUUCGGAUUGUAAAGCACUUUAAGUUGGGAGGAAGGGCAGUAAGUUAAUACCUUGCUGUUUUGACGUUACCGACAGAAUAAGCACCGGCUAACUUCGUGCCAGCAGCCGCGGUAAUACGAAGGGUGCAAGCGUUAAUCGGAAUUACUGGGCGUAAAGCGCGCGUAGGUGGUUUUGUAAGUUGGAGGUGAAAUCCCCGGGCUCAACCUGGGAACUGCCUCCGAAACUGCAUGACUAGAGUACGGUAGAGGGUAGUGGAAUUUCCUGUGUAGCGGUGAAAUGCGUAGAUAUAGGAAGGAACACCAGUGGCGAAGGCGACUACCUGGACUGAUACUGACACUGAGGUGCGAAAGCGUGGGGAGCAAACAGGAUUAGAAACCCGGGUAGUCC